GCUCUCGUGGUCUAGUAGAAUGAUACGCGCUUUGGGUUAAACAUGAACUUCGUUUGCGCGGGGUCCCGGGUUCAAAUCCCGGCGAGGGUC